CCUACGGGUGGCAGCAGUGGGGAAUAUUGGGCAAUGGACGCAAGUCUGACCCAGCAACGCCGCGUGAAGGAUGAAGGCUCUCGGGUUGUUAACCUCUUUUAAGGGGGAAGAGCAGAAGACGGUACCUCUUGAGUAAGCCACUGCUAACUACGUGCCCGCAGGCGCGGUCAUACGGAGGUGGCAAGGCUUGUCCGGAUUUACUGGGGUUAUAGGGCGUGCAGCCGGGAAGACAAGUCAGAUGUGAAAACGCGCGUCUCAACCGCCGAACUGCAGUUGAAACUGUUUUUCUUGAGUAUCGGAGAGGUAAUCGGAAUUCGUAGUGUAGCGGUGAAAUGCGUAGAUAUCAGGAAGAACACCAGUUGCGAAGGCAGAAUACUGGACGACAACUGACGGUGAGGCGCGAAAGCGUGGGGAGCGAACAGGAUUAGAUACCCGUGUAGUC
rnacentral:rRNA from 1 species